UGGUUGGAUACCAAACCUGUGUUAAACUCCUUCAACGAGUCGAGUAGUUUGGGAAUGCUGCUCUAAAUGGGAGGUAAAUCUCUUCUAAAGCUAAAUACCGGCCAGAGACCGAUAGCGCACAAGUAGAGUGAUCGAAAGAUGAAAAGCACCUUGAAAAGGGGGUUAAACAGUACGUGAAAUUGUUAAAAGGGAAGCGUUUAUGACCAGACUUGUGUCGUGUGGCUCAUCCGAGGUUCUCCCCGGUGCACUCCACACGGCUCAGGCCAACAUCGGUUCUCGUUGGGGGAUAAGAACAGCAGGAACGUGGCCCUCUUCGGAGGGUGUUAUAGCCUGCUGUACGAUA
rnacentral:rRNA from 1 species